rnacentral:tRNA from 1 species
GGCUUGUAGCUCAGUGGUUGAACACUUACCUCACAUGCAUGAGGCACUGGGUUUGAUCCUCAGCACCA